GCCUUUGUGGUGUAGCGGUCAGCACGCUCGAUGCGUAACCAAGAGGUCCGUGGUUCGAUUCCCGGCGAAGGCG
rnacentral:tRNA from 1 species